rnacentral:tRNA from 1 species
GCCGCGGUGGCGUAAUUGGUAGCCGCACAUCACUUAAGAUGAUGCGCCGUAAGGCGUGUGGGUUCGACUCCCACCCGCGGCA